rnacentral:lncRNA from 1 species
CAGACUUUGGGACUUGAAUGAAGUCACAAAACAAGGCAAAUGUGGAAGACAAAGAUAGCUCAUAAACUAGCACUUUAUUUAUUUAAGAACAAGACAGAAUGAAGUUUACAGACACUGUCUUCUGGUCCUCCAAACCCCUGCUUCCUCCACAUCAUAUACACACCAGAUUCAGGCUCUAAAGUCCUAAGAUCUCAUUCUCAUUUUGAAAACUGCAACUACUCAAAAACAGUCCAUUUCAGCGUGAUGCUCUAAGACACAGACGCCGCAAAAAGGUAUUUUUACACUCUCUGGUAUUUGCCAAGGUUAUUUUGUAG